UAACACCUCCAGUCAAGGGAAGGGGGAGAGAAGGGGAAGAAUGAUAAACACUAAAUAAAAGGUGGUAGUGAUUUAACAAAUGAAAUAGUAUAGCACUUUGGAUGAGGUGGUAAGAGACCACAAAAGAGGCCAAGAGAUGGUAAACCUUUUUCAAGCAAACUAAUGGGUUAAGUAUACACAUUAUUCCAAGGGUCCUGCUAUUAGUUUAAUUUAUGUCAAAUCAGACAUCAGGUUAGAGAAUCAUAUUGCUGAAUGUCUCUAUCAUGUCAUCAGAGCUGUAACUAAAGCCUACUAAACUUAGGGUGCAAAUAUUUAUCCAAUGUGCCAGACUGGAAAAUGCAAAGUACAUUCCUGCCAGCAGUUUAAAUUGAAGUCGUCUUAUAGAAGGUGUUUGUACAGUGCAUCUUGGCUAGUGGUUAACUUAUUGCUUUAACUGAGCAAUUAUACAAGCUAAAGCUCUCUAGGGACCAAAUCCAAACACACACUGAAAUCAAGACCUUUCUUUACUUUAGUGGGUGUAGGAUCAGGUCCUAAAUCCCAACCAGUAAGUUACAUUAUCAAAAUAGAGUCCAAAAAGAACCAUUAUGUUGAUGGAAGAGAAAAGGUGAAGGAUGACAAACACGGUGUAAACAAGGCUGCUUCAGAAAAGCAGAACUGUACUAGAAUGAAAAUGCAAAUCCUGCUGCUAAAUCCUUUCAGAUCUGUAAUUUGGGGGAGAGCUGACACAUUCUGUAUCACCCUCCUCCCUACUUAGCUGAAUAAGGGAAAUUUUCACUUGGUGCUGUGCUUCCUAGCCACAAAAACAGCAUGUAAAGCUGUUGUGCCCUUUGCUCUUUAAGUCAAAUGCCCAUUGCAAAGAAACAGCUGUUUCAAUGGACGCAGUCUGUAUUGACUAAUUCAGUUCCUAUUUCCUUGGAAAACCAUCUCAAGCCCCAACUAAAAAAAGCCUCUUCAGUUUCCUGCAUUUUUUUUUUAAGUAGCACAUUGCUCCAUAACAUAUGGGGAUCAAAGAGUUAUGAAGGGCUCUACCUUUCCAAGGAGCACAAAAGAGGCCAAGCAAACAGCAGAGGAACACUGGUGAGAGCACCCUGCAGAUUUAUAUUUACUUUGUGCCUUUUCAUCCCAGAUUUUCAAAGGUUUGGUCCAGGUUGCUCUUCCUGGGAAGGUUUUCCUCUCAGUCUUGCAUGAAAACAUUCAGCUUCCUGUUGAGGAAUGGCCUUGAGGCGCCAGGCCAGUGUAUCAGACUGCUGUGAACUAAGUGCUGUGAUUCAAAACUACUCCCCAUUAGCAGCCACCAAUGUCUACUUCACUGAAGGAAAUGAAAUGCUCUUCUGUUGAGAUGAUUCCCUACCUCCUCCCCCUCCCCUUACCAGCAAGCUGUCUUUGAAGUCAUGAGGUUAAAAUAACGACUACGGCCUUGCUCUGGCCUUAAAUUUUUAAACUGGGACCUUUACUUUCUGAGUCAAAGUACAACCGUAGCAAUUUCUGGCUCACGUUUUCAUAACCUCUCCUCAUUCCUUUUUCCACUAGUAAAAGGAGGCUGCUUACAUGAUUCCAAUUGUACAUGGGGAUGUUAAAAAGGAGGCCUAAAGUUAUUGUUUCCAGGGUAAUACUACAGAAAAUUACACAGUCGUUAUCCUGAAAAUGAGGGCUAGGAUAUGGUUUUCCGUAGCUGCCUGUUUUUUAAGGCUAUGGACUGAAAGUAACUUCUACUGCUGAUAGACCAAACAGUACCUUUAAAAAAACCUGAAAUAUGGUGUUGCCUUAAAGAUAUAAAACAGGUCAAAUCAGGAUUCUUUUCAAGAAACCACAGGCAUGUGCUAAGGAGACUGAAGACUUGCCACAUCUGAGACUUCACUGGGGGGGCUGCAGCUGAAGUCUGUCCAAGCCAGGCAUGCCCCAGCAAAGCCCAAUCCACAAGCGAAGUCGGCGCAAUCAAAGACUGCAAUUACAGUUCCCUGGCUGUGGUUAGGCUUCAAAGAAAGUGCUGCAAGUCACAUUUUACAUAUGUGAAGUCUUGAGCCUAAGCCACAGCUUGCCAUUUGCACUGUACAUCAGACUGCAGAAAACAUACACACCCCUUUCUGUCUUUGGAAUAAGUAACUUCAAUGGAAAUAAAAUCAAACAUAAAAAGCUCUUAGAUUUUGAUAAAGCUGAACUUCAGCAACUAGCAAUCCCAGACUUGUGAUUCACAACUGGAUGUUAGUUGGUGAAAAAAUAAAUGAUUUUUGCUUUCCAAAAAAAGAGUGACCAAAGUUUUGCACCUUUUUCCUCCCUACUCCUUGCAAUGAAAUGGAAUGAAUCCUAGUCCCUAGAGAAUUUAUAAGCCUCAUCUCACAGAACGUUACAAAAUAAAGUUACUCAUCUUCAUGAUUAAACAAAGUUGAGAGAAGCUGACAUGGAGGAUGAUGGGGAUUACAGAGAUUCAUCCAAUUCAGUGGAAGCGGGGUGUGUAACUAGCCUUACAAGAAGUGGUGGAUAAAAGGGAGAACUACUAGUCCUCCGGAAAAGGCUAUUUGAGAACAAGUGUGCUUUAAAAUGGGCUGUAUUUGCCUGGUUUUUCCACAGCACUUUGGUGUGGGGCAGUGGAAGGAAGGGUAGAGUAGAGUGUGGGGGGCGGGGAGGGGAGGAUUUCAAUUACAAAACCUGCUUAUUAUAAGUGUGUUUUGAAUGACAUGUCAAACUAUGUCCUGAGCAAAACUAAUUAGAAAUCCAAAUACAUUAUUUUCUUUUGGAGUUUGCAGAACUACGGCUAAAGGCCCAACUUAUUGCUAUUGUUUCUCAAUAUUAAAGACACAAGUAAAUAGAAGAAAAAAAAUCAAGCCACUAGUACAUUCUUAGACUGAAUGAUUUAAAGUCACUCACACACACACUCAUUGAGGCCUUGUCUACCCAGGAAAUUCUUAGUUUUUUCAUCCAUGCUAGCACCAGUUAGGUUCCAUUGCUGGUAGUUACAGUGGGAUUACUAGCAUUAUGCUGAUGCAGCAGCAUCUGCUGCUGUUUUAUAUGACAUGAAUCAAACCUACGCCACAGCAGGGUUAAUGGCAAGGCUUAAAGUGCCAGUGGCUACCUAAAGCCCUGUCAAUGCUAGGGCUUCCACUGGUGGAGUAGAACCAGCAGCAGAUUUUGUUAAAGGCAUUCUAGAGAGCCCGAAGAUGACCCUCAAACUAUCACUGUUACAGUGUUUGAAGGGAUGAUGCUGGAAACUCUGGACCUGUUCUUUCCAUUUCAGACAAGAAACUGUGUAGUUUAUAGUAAAAACUUCAGGUUACCUCUAGGCAGCCAAGACUCCAGCAGCUUCUUUGAGAGAAGAAUGAUCAGUAUAUUAAGACCUGCGAGGGAGGAAAAAUGGGUUUGUGCCCUUUUUGCUUCUUUAUGAUGUAUAAUGAACAUUUGAAGGAAUAAACCUUUCAGAAGAGGCGGGGGGGGGGGGGAGGGUUGCUUUAUUUUACACAUUAGAAAUUCAGUUCGUGUCUACACUAUUCCUGCUGAAAGAUUUGGUCUGAUAAAAGAGUAUAAUAUCACAAGUACCGAGGAAAACCUGCACAAUUGAGAGAGGGAAAUUUAGUCAAGGUUUCAAAUUUUGUAACUCACAACACUAACUCAAGCACCUUGACAGUGUCAGGAGGAAAGAUUCCCUUCAAUUCUCUUAUGUUCCAAGAAAGUAGCUUUCAAUAACAGGGAAACCUGGAUAUUCUUGAUAUUUCAAAAGUAAAUCAAGUAAAAAUUUCUUCAGAUAAAAAAGCAGCAAAAAAUGGCAAAAACUUUUUUCCUUAUAAGUCACAUUUAAGCUAUACAUAUUUUUUUCCACUACAUGCAUCCGAUGAAGUGAGCUGUAGCUCACAAAAAUUUAUGCUCAAAUAAAUGCGUUAGUCUCUCAGGUGCCACAAGGACUCCUUUUCUUUUUGCGGAUACAGACUAACACGGCUGCUACUCUGAAACCUGUCAUUUAAGCUAUAGCAAGUACAGUUUUUGGUUAGACUUAACACUGAUUUGAAGAACCAACCUCAAAAUUCAGCCUAUGCUCAUGAAUGAGUUAAUUCAAAAAUAAUUUUAUAUUGGAACAAAAAUCUCUCCGAUGUUGCAGCCAUCUGUUUUUACAUAGCUCCAUUAACUCCCUCUUUCCCAAGUCCAAAGUUUCCAGUGCAAAGUAGCAAUGCAAAGAACUCACUAUCCCAGCACCAUGGAUUCCAAAGGCUCAAUCAUCAUUUCCUAACCACCACCAACUGCUACAAACAAAAACAAAAACCUUAUCUCUGUUGUGAUCUCAAGCGAAGUACAUAAGGCAAAUAGCAAUAAACAUUUGUCUCCAAUUCUAACAACUCAAGUGGGGACAAAUCUGCAGGAAAAAACAUAUCACAACAAUUUUAACAAAAAAGCUUUUAUCAACUUUCAAGUGAAUGCAAAUUUUUCCACAAUGGAACCUGGAGCUAUUUUUGCACUAAAAUUCUACCUUCUGACCUUUGAAUAUACCGAGGGAGGCUGUGCUUUCCAAAAGCAUAUGCUGGGAAUCAGUGUCAAGAAUUCUAAUUCCACCUAAAUGAGAGCAGAUUUCAUAAACAUUACCCCUAUUUUUAUAAUGAGGAAGCAGACUCAGAAAAAGUAAAUGGACCUGCUCACAUAAUAGCACAGAUGAAUCUACAUCAGCAGAUCCAUGCAGGGAAGAGGUUGUCCUGUCCUUCCCAUCCAGGCCAGGACUAGCAGCCCCUUGGUUGGGGUGCUCCCAGCAGCACAGGGGAGAUCAGACCCACCUCCAGAAACCUCCUCUGGCUUCAGGAAGCUGCAUGGCUGCUGCUGUCAAAGCUCAACUCUGAAGGCAGUGCAGAAGUGAGGGUGGCAAUCCCGUCUCUCACACACACCCCUCCCCUCGUCAUAACAGCUUUGCAACCCGCCGACUUAUUUUUGUAUCGGGACUCUCACAGUUACAACAUUGUGAGCUUUCAGAUGUAAACAUCUGAAAAUGACUAAUUUUAAAGUCCUCUGGCCAUGAAAUUGCUCAAAAUGGACCAUGAAUUUGGUAGGGUCCUACCUAUAUGUACAGCUGUGGAAGCCUUAACCCUGGACACCUUCAAAUUUUUGCUCAUGGGUCAAAGACUUUAAACUGGGGAGAGGAUCAAAGAUUAAAUAGACAGACUUGUCUGGGGGGCAUUGAGGUUUAAAUACCAGAUCAGGCUCAGGAGACUGGUUCAGUUAACAAAUGGCAGAGGUCACUUUGCCAAGUCAAAACCUCUGAGCCUCAGGUUGCUUAUCUGUAAGAUGGUUGUUUUCAUGUUUACUUUACUACAUAAUGUUAGAGUGUUUCCUAAGGGCAAAGUACUAUGAAAUGCCAGCCAGUGGUAAAGGGGAAAUAAAACUCAGGACUAGAGCUGGUCGGAGAAACAUCAAUGGAACCAUAUUCUGUUGGAAUAUGCAGUUCCAUUGAAACUGAAAUGCUUCAUGAUUUGCUUCAUUUUGCCAAAAUUUCAUUUCAUGAGGGGAAAAAAAAAAAAUUCUGAAGGUCAAAACAGCAUGUUUUGAACAUUUUUAGGACAAAAUAUUUUGAUUUUGAAACUACUUAACUUUUGUAAAGGAGAAUUCUGAAAUUUUCAGGUUUCCUUCUGAUUUGAAAUGAAUCUAGAUUUUGAAAUCUUAAAGUAUUUUAUGAAAUGAUUUCCAUCCUCUACACAAGGCUCUACUCAGAACUUCAGUUGCCUGUCUGGUGCUAAAUUCACUAAACCAUGCGAUUUUGAGCAGGUGUGGAGGUGGACUACCAGCAGCCUCCCCUCCUCCUUCCCAAAGGUCAAAAUUAGAGUAGAAGUUUCCCAUUCCUCCCUCAUUCCAACAACACCUUAAAAGUUUUUUGUUUUUUGUUUUUUUUUUUUUUAGUAUUGUCUAUGGAGGGGAUCAUAAGAUUUCAAGAUCUUGUAAAACAACCCCUGCCUCACAGAAAUUUCCUUUGAAAUAGGGUUUUGUUUUAUUAAUUAAAAAUGUUGGUUCUAAUUAGUCAACACUGAUUUACUUACUUUUUGGACUUCAUAAGUUUGGAGUAUGGAAAGGGACAAGUCAGUUUCACUUGUGUAUAGCUCAUCUGAUUUCACUUUCUAGCUCUUGUAGCAGUGUAUGUGGGUUACAAGUAUUGCAGGUUGGGAUUUCAAUACCAAUCAACUUAAUGUUUAAAUCCAUGGAAUCACUUUGACCUUAAAUUUAUAAAAAAAAAAAAAGGUUAGAAAAUGUAUAUGUUCACCCUAGCCUUCACCUGUCACUGGUCCCUUAAAAAUCAAAAGCAACAAACCACACACUAUGCCCUAGGUAACAGAUGGAGACGUGGCACAAAAACUGAAUAGGUUUAUUCUGUUAUCUUUUGGCAUUUGUAGUAGAUAAGUAGAAGAAUGCUCUAUUCCUCAUCGCUCCCAACAGUUGUCACCAUAUUCUCUACAUUUAACCUGAAUAGGAUAAUUUUUUUUAAAUGUUUGUCUUUUUUGUUUCUUCUUAAUGUAUGAACACCUGAAGGGAGGAGACUUAUUCCUUCUUGUUUGUCUUUCACCUUAGAAACGUCACUAUCAAAUCUGAUCUCCCCUUGGUUUUCUGGCAGACCUGCUGUAUACGUUAAGUCCACAUGUGCUUUUACACAUUCUUUGAAGCUUCAACAAAAGAUACCUAUUUCCAAAAUGUUAGUCCCUGAUAUUAACACCUGUUUCAACAAAAACAUUUUAAAUAGUUGACAAAUUAUCUUCUGCUCAGUGGCCCGGUUCUCACUCAACACAUGACGUUAUCAUCAUUACCCUAGUUCUCCAGCCAACAGAGAGCUUCCAGGGUAGACAAGACCUAAUUUCUCAUGUGAUAACAGAUUUUUUUAAAAAUGUAAAUAAGCUUUAUACAUCUUAAAGCAUCAGAGGAGACCAUGCACUUUGCUGGUCACUCAAGACUUAGAAUUAAAUUCACUGUUGUAGUCAUAUUGCCAUUUUUAAGGGAAAGUGAUGGGGUAAUUAUUUUCACCAUUAUAGUUUAGGGUAUUGAUAAGCCAUAUUAAGUGAACACCUCUCUUUUGCGUCUCUGCCAGGAUCAUAAUGUUUACACCUCAAAAACACUUUUGCUGCCAGCCACCUUGCCUGUAUCCAAUGAAGUGAGCUGUAGCUCACAAAAGCUUAUGCUCUAAUAAAUGUUAGUCUCUAAGGUGCCACAAGUACUGCUUUUCUUUUUACUAGAACGCUGUGAGCCAAAAAGGAAAUUUAUAAGCAUUAAAAUAAAGUAAAUAACCACCUCACACAACUGACACAUUAAGACAUCCAGGGUCACAUUUUUUAUGUUCUCCACACCUACAGGAUCUCUACUUACUGAACUCUCCAAUCUGUCACUGGAUUGCUUUUAUUUUUUGCUCAUCUAACAGCAAUUUAGAGAGCUUUACCAGACAAGCGAUAAGGUGUACACUUCAUCUUUAUGUUUCUACAUGACAUCGGCCAGGAAACUAUCUGACCAAGUUCUUUUCCACGUAUUAUAUUUAUGGAAGUAGGUUUGAUCUAGUUUACAUUAUUCUUGUCACUGUCUCACUCAUUUCCACUGCUAUUUAGAAAUAAAUUUUCUUGUUUUGGAUUCGUUAGUUACCCACUAUUCAAAAUCUCAUCCCCUUUUUUUAAUAGCAUUUUGCUCCAAUAUUCCUGUAAGGGAAUAGAUACUUAAAUGUAAAAUAAUUCAUCUUCCACUUAAGCUUCACACACUCACAAAAAAUCAAAAUAAGCCUCUUUAAUAUGUUUUGAUUGUAAAUAAAAAUUAUUCAGGUUUUGUCCUCAUGUUUGAGAGUGUUGCUGAACUAAGUGCUAGUCCUACCAAAUUGUUGAAAGCUGCAAAUAAGAAUAUUUAAUUCUCCCAGCUUUAUUCCUAAUUAUUUUAUCACUCCUUAACUAGCUGAGAACUUGACAAAUGGCAGGGUGAAAAUCAUUAAGUGAUAUGCCAGUCACAGUUCUUGUAUAUGUCAAGCUAAAUAUUUCCACAUUUCAGUGGAACAAUCUAGCGUAGGUUUUUUGUAAGUUUGUUUUUUAGUUGCACCUUUCCAGCAAUUUAGAAGUAGUUAUUCUCAGUUCAUAAUGAGAAAAAGUAGCUUUUUUGAUUCUGUUAAAAUAAAAAUUCAAUAAAGGAAUCUGAAAUCUCCACUUUCUGUACAGAAGUUGCUGCCAUUUAUGGGUUUGCCAAGGAUGCUUGCAUUCAGAGUAUACAAGCUGUCUCACCUUCCCCCUCAAGAGUGACGUUUUCAUUAUCAAUUCAUUGAUCUGAAGCCACCCUCUCUACCAAAAAUGCAACUUUUACCAUUGUUUCCUUCCUCCCUUUCACACCCUCCCAAUUUCUGGAUCAAAAAACUAUUCAGAAGAAGUGCUGUCACUUAACUAAAGCUGGAAAAGGACCACCAGAAAUCAUCUGGGUAGUGGUGGAGGCAACAGCUCAGUCUCGAGACCAGUGAACAUUAAACUGUAAAUCAGGUGCUUUGUCUUUGCUAUUAACUUACUAUGUGGCUUUCAGCAAGUGAUUUUUGUCCUGAUUCCACAAGGCACAGAGCACCCAGAGCUCAGACUCAGACUUUACGUCCAGAAGGGACCAUCAUGAUCAUCUAGUCUGACCUGACCUCUUGCAUACUCCAGGCCACAGAACCUUGCGCAGCCACUCCUGCAGUAGACUCAUAACCUCUGGCUGAGUUACUUAAAUCCUCAAAUCUUGAUUUAAAGACUGCAAGUUUCAGAGAAUCCACCAUUUACUCUACUCUAGUUCAAGCCAGCCAGUGACUUGUGCCCCAUGCUGCCAAGGAUGGUGAAAGACUCCCUGAAUCUCUGCCAAUCUGAUCUGGAGGGAAAUUCUUUCCCAACUCUAAAUAUGGCGGUCAAUUGGACCUUGAGCAUGUGGGUGAGAUCCACCAAACACUUGGGAAAGAAUUCUCCAUAGUAACUCAGAGCCCUCCUCAUCUAGUGUCCUAUUUCUGGCUAUUGGAGAUAUUUGCCACUAUAAGCAAUCAUCAUACUAUCCCCUCCAUAAACUUAUCAACUCAGUCUUAAAACACUAUGUAUUUUUGCCCUCCUUGGAGGGCUGUUCCAGAAUUUCACUCCUCUGACCACCAGAAACCUAAAUUUCUAGUCUAAACUUCUUGAUGGCUAAUUAUAUCCAUUUUUUCUUGUUCCAACUUUGAACCUUAAAUUUAAAGACUCCUCUCUUUCUCCUCUCCUGCUGUUUAUCCCUCUAAUGAAUUUAGAGCAAUCAUUUCUCCUCAACCUUCAUUUGGUUAAGAUAAACAAGCCACGCUCCUUAAGUUGAGAGGCUGCUCAGCACCUUGCAUAUUCUGGUAUGUUGGUUUCCCCUCGAUCUAAAAUUGGGAUGAUAAUAUUUACCAUUAGGUAUAGGGUGACCAGACAGCAAGUAUGAAAAAUCGGGAUGGGGUGGGGGAUAAUAGAAGCCUAUAUAAGAAAAAGACCCAAAAAUCAGGAGUGUCCCUAUAAAAUCAGCAAACCUGAUCACCCUAAUUAGGUAGGGCACAGAAUUGAGUAACAAGGUGUGGGAUUCUAAUUCACUUAACCCCUCUGCAUUCAGUUUGUCCUCCUAUAGCUAUAUAUAUUUGUUAUCCAUUCUAAAAUGCUUGGAGAUUCUCAGACAGUAAGUGUCAAGCAUUAUUGAUCAUCCUGUGAUGGGAGACGCUAUACGUAAAGACUAGCUCCUGAAGGAAUCCUACUGUGAGCAUGGGAGUAGGAUCCUUAUACAGCUAGUGUUAAAAAUUAACAAAAUAUAUGAACGCUCCAGUAACUGAGUACUGUUCUCAAAUCUUACCGUUUCUGUAAGGAAUGUAAUAUAAAGUUUGUUCUCUAUUUUGGUGCAGUUUUCAGUUAAAAAAAAUCUGUACUUGAAAGUUUGUUACAAGUCAUUGCAAUUUUGGUUGUUAAAAAAAAUUGAUCUUUAGUUCCUUGAGACCUGUUUUUCUGCAAUCCUACCAAAUGCCAAGAGCCAGAAGUGUGAGCCAGAAGAACUAUUCUCACUUCAAAGUGAAAUCUAUGUAUUUCAAUUUCUGCACAUGUUAAAAAACAGAUCCAAUUUAUUUCAAAAGAUCAGCAUUUUUGAUCUUUCAAGCUAAAAUAAAAUAGUCACUUCUCUCA